rnacentral:rRNA from 1 species
AGCAGCAGCCACGGGAAUACAGAGGGUGCGAGCGUUAAUCGGAUUUACUGGGCGUAAAGCGUGCGUAGGCGGCUAAUUGAGUCGGAUGUGAAAUCCCCGAGCUUAACUUGGGAAUUGCAUUCGAUACUGGUUAGCUAGAGUGUGGGAGAGGAUGGUAGAAUUCCAGGUGUAGCGGUGAAAUGCGUAGAGAUCUGGAGGAAUACCGAUGGCGAAGGCAGCCAUCUGGCCUAACACUGACGCUGAGGUACGAAAGCAUGGGGAGCAAACAGGAUUAGAUACCCCUGUAGUCCCUGUCUCUUAUAC